GGGGCCAUAGCUCAGUUGGUAGAGCACCUGCAUGGCAUGCAGGGGGUCAGGGGUUCAAAUCCCCUUGGCUCCA
rnacentral:tRNA from 1 species